rnacentral:rRNA from 1 species
UACGUAGGGGGCUAGCGUUGUCCGGAAUCAUUGGGCGUAAAGAGCGUGUAGGCGGUCCGGUAAGUCCGCUGUGAAAGUCGGGGGCUCAACCCUCGAAUGCCGGUGGAUACUGUCGGGCUAGAGUACGGAAGAGGCGAGUGGAAUUCCUGGUGUAGCGGCGAAAUGCGCAGAUAUCAGGAGGAACACCGGUGGCGAAGGCGGGUCUCUGGGCCGGUACUGACGCUGAGACGCGAAAGCGUGGGGAGCAAACAGG